UGUAAAGGUUGGGGGCAUUUAUGAGUCUGAUAUCUUUGACUAUGUAUACAAUAACAUGUUUUUUUUAAUGUAAAUAUUGGACUUGUCCAGAACAGCUUAGCUGCUUUAAAAAAAAAUAAAAAGUGUUUGUCAACAUCUAUUAGCAUUACCAGAUUUCAAAGUGCCUCAAAUUGGGAAAUACAAGCUUUGUUUUAGUGGAAGCUUCACAGGGCCAUGUCCUUGAGUAUUCUGGAGGUUACUGAGUGGCAGCAGCAGAAUUGUGUGGGUUCUGAGUGUUCAUCUCCUCCCCCUUUAGGGUGAUGUGGAGUCCCCAGUGCCACCUUCCACUGGAAUGCCCCUCCAGGGGCCUAAAACCAAACCAACAGACUGAAAUCUCAGCUGAGAACCAGAUCUGUGGCUGUAUUUCCUGCUUGCACAAAUAGGUGAGUUCACCUACAGUGACUGAAAAGGAAACUUUCCCCUUCCAGCCAGCAGAAUUUUUUCCUGCAAUGUGUGCUGACCUCUAUUUCAGACAAACAACACAUAAGCUUGUUAGAUGAAUGUUGAGAGGAAAAAAUAAUAAUAAAAACACUCUCAAGGGUUUUAGGAAUAUAAUAUUGGUGGCUAAAGGAUUUCAAGUGCCAAUUAGGGGUCAUUGUAAGGUUGCAGAAAUUGGAGGAGUUUUUUUAAUCCUUGUCUUUAAGAAGCUUUUUCUGCUUGUAAUGCUAUCAUGUUGUAUAAUUCAGUGAGUGAACGUGAUAUACAUAGAAAAUUAAUGAUCAUCUUGCCUUGUUGGCUUUUUAAGCUCCCAUUUUACGUAUAUGUGUUCUGAAGAACUUUUCUAUUUCAGUGCCUUUGCUUGCUUCCUUCAGGGAGUUGCAUAAACACCACAGAAAGCUGACACCUGGGAAUCUGUGCAGUUGCCUUAAGGGCAAUUAGCUAUAAAAGGUAGGGCUAAAAGCUAAUUGCUCUGGUUUAGUUCUCAAAGUGCAGGUGAAGCUUGCUGAGAAAUGAAACGAAGGCUGGAGAAAGGCCAGUUAAAAAAUUCUCUCUCUGGACUUGGACUAGAACUUUUUAGCACUGAAAACUCCUGCCAGUUUGACAGUAAAUUUUGUGUUCUGGUGCCUGCUAGAAUGAGGACAGCAAAUGGCUUGAUGGAUGUCUGUGAACUACAUCUUACUGAAAAAGGAUGGAGAGGACAACUCUUGAUUUGCCUUACAGAAGGAUCCCCUGAGGCCAACUGUGAGGUAAGACUUGAAAAUCAUUCUCAGAGCCAUGCAACAGAUCCUCAGGCAAAAAUCUGCUUGAAUCUUUUCAAAGAUUCUUCUGGAGUCUUCCUGCAAAGUAUCACAUAGAUAGCUUGCCUGAUUCAAUACAAACCAGACAUUCUGCAAGCUGCUGAGUCACAAGGACAUGCUCAUUUCAGUAACAGCCUUUUGUAAGAAUUGAGUAUUCAUUAGUCUUCUGCAGCAGACAGACACCUAGUACAUUUGUUCUACUUUUCUGAUAGUUGUAUUUCCAUAUGUAUUUCCAUUUAUGUUAUCUGGAUUAGAAAUUAGCUGUUGACAUUAAGCAGUAAUUCAAAUUGUGCAAAUAAAGCAGCGCUUACAGAUGUUGUCCCUGGUUUG
rnacentral:lncRNA from 1 species